rnacentral:lncRNA from 1 species
UAGUUAUCCCCGUUACCGGUUUUGUACUUUUAACUCGUUUCGUACUCCGAUAUCUCAAUGAUCAUAUCAUUCUUGUGUCUGGCCAGACGAUGAUAGAUAUCGUCGUACCGAGUGGGACCUAAGUGUAUCUCUCCACCGAUAGAGGAGCAAAUCCCAAUCUUGAACUAUCGAGUCAAUUCAUACUUUCCGGAGUACCCGGAAAUCACCA